UGGGGGAUAUUGCACAAUGGGCGAAAGCCUGAUGCAGCGACGCCGCGUGGGGGAUGAAGGCUUUCGGGUUGUAAACCUCUUUCGCUAUCGAACAAGGCCCGCUUAGGGUGGGUUGAGGGUAGGUGGAGAAGAAGCGCCGGCUAACUACGUGCCAGCAGCCGCGGGAAUACGUAGGGCGCGAGCGGUGUCCGGAAUUAUUGGGCGUAAAGGGCUUGUAGGCGGCUUGUUGCGCCUGCUGUGAAAAGGCGGGGCUUAACUUCGUGCGUGCAGUGGGUACGGGCAGGCUUGAGUGUGGUAGGGGUGACUGGAAUUCCAGGUGUAGCGGUGGAAUGCGCAGAUAUCUGGAGGAACACCGAUGGCGAAGGCAGGUCACUGGGCCAUUACUGACGCUGAGAAGCGAAAGCAUGGGUAGCGAACAGG
rnacentral:rRNA from 1 species